GACGAACCGUGCGAACGUUGUUCGGAAUCACUGGGCUUAAAGGGCGCGUAGGCGGGCCAUAAAGUCAGGGGUGAAAUCCUCCAGCUUAACUGGAGAACUGCCUUUGAUACUGGCAAUCUAGAGUCCGGAAGAGGUGAGUGGAACUCCUAGUGUAGAGGUGGAAUUCGUAGAUAUUAGGAAGAACACCAGUGGCGAAGGCGGCUCACUGGUCCGGUACUGACGCUGAGGUGCGAAAGCGUGGGGAGCAAACAGG
rnacentral:rRNA from 1 species